rnacentral:rRNA from 1 species
GAUGAACGCUGGCUACAGGCUUAACACAUGCAAGUCGAGGGGAAACGACGGGGAAGCUUGCUUCCCCGGGCGUCGACCGGCGCACGGGUGAGUAACGCGUAUCCAACCUGCCUCUGACUGAGGGAUAACCCGUCGAAAGUCGGCCUAAUACCUCAUGGCAUCGUCUGCGGGCAUCCAACGACGAUUAAAGAUUUCAUCGGUCAGGGAUGGGGAUGCGUCUGAUUAGCUUGUUGGCGGGGUAACGGCCCACCAAGGCUACGAUCAGUAGGGGUUCUGAGAGGAAGGUCCCCCACAUUGGAACUGAGACACGGUCCAAACUCCUACGGGAGGCAGCAGUGAGGAAUAUUGGUCAAUGGGCGAGAGCCUGAACCAGCCAAGUAGCGUGCAGGAUGACGGCCCUAUGGGUUGUAAACUGCUUUUAUGCGGGGAUAAAGUGAGGGACGUGUCCUUCAUUGCAGGUACCGCA